GGGGAAGGAAGACCCUGUUGAGAUUGACUCUAGUCUAACUUUGUGAAAUGACUUGAGAGGUGUAGAAUAAGUGGGAGUUGUUUUCAGCGCAAGUGAAAUACCACUACUUUUAACAUUAUUUUACUUAUUUCACAGGGAAGAUAUGAGGCAUAAUUGCACAUAUGUUAAAAGAUGAUGCACAUUUACUCAAAGUGUUUUUAUUUAUGCGAAUGGUCAAAAUCUCAUUCUUCACACACUUGAUGGCAAUGAUUUUAGGAAACCAAAUAGGAUCAUUUAUUUUAAGGAUGAAUAAAUUUCCUACAAUCCCUAUGUUUUAAGCC
rnacentral:ncRNA from 1 species